rnacentral:rRNA from 1 species
UGGGGAAUCUUGCGCAAUGGGAGCAAUCCUGACGCAGCAACGCCGCGUGGGUGAUGAAGGUCUUCGGAUCGUAAAGCCCUGUCGGAGGGGAAGAUGCUUGGAACGUCUAAUAGAUGAGCCAGGUGACGGUACCCUCAAAGGAAGCACCGGCUAACUCUGUGCCAGCAGCCGCGGUAAUACAGAGGGUGCAAGCGUUGUUCGGAAUUAUUGGGCGUAAAGGGAGUGUAGGCGGUCUGUUAAGUCUUCUGUGAAAUCUACGGGCUUACCCUGUAAAGUGCAGAGGAAACUAGCAGGCUUGAGUGUCGGAGAGGAUAGGGGAAUUCCCGGUGUAGAGGUGAAAUUCGUAGAUAUUGGGAAGAACACCAGUGGCGAAGGCGGCUAACUGGUCCGGUACUGACGCUGAGACGCGAAAGCGUGGGGAGCAAACAGGAUUAGAU